ensembl:snoRNA small nucleolar RNA MBII-202
UGAUGACAAAUCUCCGGAAUCUCUGUACUUCCUUGAUGAAUCUUUUUGAACCUAUUAGCUGAUGACUGCUAGAUUAAU